UAGCUUUCACCCGGGAGUAUUUCAGAGUAUCGAUUUUCCACAGGGAACGUGAGUGUACUAAUUAAGAUCUAAGAUCGCCCAAGGAUAACUAUAUGAUUAUUUUUGGUGGGAAGAGAGGAAGUUUCCUGAGAGUUCUCUAGUUGACCUAAGAAUCAAGAAUUACUUCAAGAUUAUCUAUAUCGGGACAUCAGAGCACUAACCACAAAAAGAGAUGAGAAGGGGGCUAGGAAGGUCUGACUACGGUCCUACAAACACCGAUCCGAACGAGGUGGAAUACGUCGACCGUUAGGGCUGUCACUACCCCAGGUAAUUGCAAGACUAAACACCACGUCUAGUCUAUUAAUUACUACUCUAGCAUUAUAAAGACUAGAGCACUUGAUGCAAGCGGGAAUCCAAUAAAUAACUUGAAUGUAAAUAAAAGUAAUUAAAGAACUCAGGAUUAUGAAUUGAAGAACCUGGAGAACGAUGAAGAAUGAACCAGUUGCUGCAAAAGUACAAUGUUGAGGAAGAUCCGACAGAUCCGGCUCCUCCUCCGCUCUCCUCUUCUCUCUCCCUAUUUUCUAGAUUACAACUAGAACUAACUAGAACUAGAACUAGAGGAACUAGAACUAGAACUAGAUGAACUAGAACUAGAUCUAGAUGAACUAGAGGUAGAACUAGAAGAACUAGAGGGAUCCUCUCUACUUGGAUGAAGAAUUGAAACCCUAGCUUUGAUUCUGUAGAAGAGGUAUGAUCUCCAGGGGCCAGGGGGCCCUGCUUAUAUAGUCUUUUCAGAUGAAUCUGGGCCGUUGGAUCAAACCGACAUUAAUCGCACGGUUUUCCUUGAUCCCUUAGGUUGGUGGAACAUGAUCUCCGAAAAGGACUCUCUUUGGGCACUGUAGGUGGGCGGGCGCCCAGGACAGUAGGGCGGGCGCCCUGCCUCCGAGCCCGAUUGCCUUCCCGUUCGUUCCCAUGGCUUCUGGAGUCUUCUAGAUGGUAGAAAAUUGUGCGGCACAUUAAUAUCUCUAUGUAAACCCAACGUGUGGGCCUUUCUUCCAUAUUUCCUGAUAACCCCCUGCAGAAAUAGACAAACACCAAAACUCGUGGAAUUCUGUCAGAUAAAACCCUAAGUCUAGGUGUUGGUUGCAUAUGGAUCCUGUUCCAUGAUUAGUUGAUGGUUAAAUGUGUGCAUUAAGGACCGUCAACAGUGGUCAAGCUGUGUAGACCCUUAGGAGCUUGUCAUGCGGUUAAAAUCAAGAUUCACUUGCACGUUCACUCAUACAUGUUUCUUCUACUCUGGAAGUACGCAUCCACGUACAUCCACUCCUUUCCAUCUCCAGAUUCACCUAAAAUUAUUCUACUUCUAUACAGAAGAGAAUAGCCAAAAACAUUAUCCUAUCCCUGUUAUUCCUCGUGAAAUAAAUGCUCUUGAUAUUUUGGUUACUACCACUUGCUACAUUAUUCUAGGAGGGUGAGUGCUCUAAAAAAAGAGAGAAAAAAAAUACGAGGAAAUAAAAAGGGGCAAGUGCCCGGAACCUCGAAGAAAAAAAAAGUGAGACGAGAGGUAAAAAUGGACAAGUGUUUGACAGUAGAAUUAGGGGUACAAGAUACCCACCUGAGAGAAAAGAAAAAUAAAAUAUGGAGCAUCUCAUUCCUCUCAAAAACCUUCAAAGUGCAAGAAAGGUAUGUGUCCCCUCAAAAGAGCAAAAGUAGAAUUAAGACUUUCACCAUUAUUUUCACCAUUAUCACCAUCAUCACCAUACACCAUUCAUCCGCCACACAUACACAUCUUGAUUUGACUUGUUGACUUGUUUCUCUGGAUCCAUGGUUUGACUAUGCAAUAAAUGUCUUGUAAGUAUGUAUUAGCUGUCUCCCACCUCUGAGCUCCAGAUAUCAAAACCUUAUUAGAGUAGUGUGAGAGAGAAGGCAAUAUCAAUAUGCCUCAUACCACAAAUACCACAUACUUUGAGAGAAGGCAUAUAUCAUCACUGCCUUGGUAAGGAUCCAGAAAUACCACAAAAGAGAGACUAGAGAGAGUCAUACAAGGAAUCUCUGAGUUUUAUUUGAAAAUCUACAAAAACUCCAGAGCUAUAGUUGAUCAAGAAUAAGAGACAUGGUGCUUGACU
rnacentral:lncRNA from 1 species